GCGACCCCAGGUCAGGCUGGACGCUGCG
rnacentral:rRNA from 1 species